rnacentral:rRNA from 1 species
AUGCGGCGGGAAGAAGUGGCAUUUAGAAGUGUUGCUGACUUUACAUUUAGGUUUCGGCAUAACAAAGCUUGCACUGUCUUUUCGCACUUAGGCGCACAGCGUGCCGUUGGUAAUGAUUCUACUACGGUGCUGCAAAUUCGCAAGCUGAUCCUAAGUAAUCGUUGUUGUUCAUUGGAUUCCUCCAGAAUUACUUCGUUAGGAUUGAAGAAUUGCUGCAAUUCUUCCUGA